ensembl:lncRNA
UUUUUAAUUUUUAUUAAACUAACUAACUAACUUUUUCCCACAGAUAAUUCAAACUGGUAGUGAUUCAGCAACAAACAGCAGCACAUGAGUAGACAAUGGCCAUGAUAAGUCAGCAAGACAAAGCUAACAGAUACAGCAAUUAUAAAAAUAGCAUGAUUUCAAAACGUAUUACAGUAUUGAGCACAAGUAGAGGGAAAACCAUCAGUGUCAGUGACAUGAACUAAUACAAGUUAAAAACUUAGACAACAACUUAGGUUUCAUCUUCCACUAAUAGGGUCCCUUUCCAGUGCGCAGUUUAAGUCCUCAAUUAAAAUGCACUUUUAAUGGAGGCUCUCAAAGUGACAAUGUUUUUUUUAAAUAGAACAAAGCAUAAUCUGUGUCGGGAAAGUGGCCCAAAAUGUUUAGUCUCGACAUGUCAUUUAUUUUUACUCUACAGGGACUUGGACGGGAGACAUUUUACAUAUCCCUUUCUGCAGUACCAAGGACAGUCACAUUAAAUGGAUGAUCAAGUAAAUGGAACAAGUAGAGUUAAUUGACCUGGUAUCUGAUCUGUUGGAAAGAAGAUAGCACAAACCGAUCGGAAACCAGGCUAAAAGUGGAUCUGGACAGAGGCAAACUACAGUGUAGUCUGAUCACAGCCAGUCAAGACAGCCGGUCCCCAAAUCAACUUGAGGCAUAUUGUCCACUCUUUGCCAUGCCAAACUUGGAGAUAACAUGUCUUUAGAGCUGGGCCUUGAGAUGACCAGAGGAGCUGUAAUUCUUCUCUAAUUAUCUUCAAUUCCCAGACGUUCUCAUCCUCUCAUUCUAACAGCAUAGUUACCAGUAGCUGUGCCUCUGUAGUGAACUGUUGAGCCCUACUGGAGAAAAGUUCUACCUGAAAUAAGUUUGUUACUAUUGUUACAUCUGUGAUGGCUUUGGGACUGGCUGUAAGUCUGGUAAGUAGCUGUAGUGCAGUCUUUGGGUGCAGAGGAUCUUAUCUCCCCUAGACUUGAGUGAAGUUCCCUCUAGAUGCUCAUCUUGGGUCCGUUUUGCAUUUCCUCCACUAGUGAAUAACAUUGGGAUUGGGGCAGAGGGAAAUUAUCCUAGAUCUGAACCUAGGAGAAACUUAUUUCCAGUGCAUGCAUCGCCAAGACUGAACAGGAACAUGGUUGUAAUAACGGUUUUAGUGUUUUCUCCAGAGUAUGUAGGUCAUAAGCAAGACAAGACCUGCGGACAGGACUGCUAUGACACAUUGGUGGAUGGAGAGGGCACUUUCCAGGUUGCCGAUGCGUUCCUCCAUGGCACUGGUGUGGAAGUAGUCAUACACCCCUGCCCCGAUGCUCCAAACAGCCCAAACUGCAUCCACGAUUAGGGGCAUGGUGGUCAGUCAGAGAAGGGCUAAUGCAGGGGACUGGGAGGUGUCACAGGAGUGGAAUUAUCCAGCCUCCGGUGUUUAGUUUACACUAGGGGCAUGGUUAAAGCAUUGACUGGCAGGUAGCAGCUGGGUGUCUCCACGGUGGGACUUCAGAGUCUGUCCAGGGUAACUUCUGCAAUGAAACAGACAUGAAAAAUAGGUAUAGUAAUAGAUGCCUGCAAUGUAAUUAAUAAAAAAAUAGAAUACAAAGAAUAACAUAAAAAAUAACUCACACGUUAUAUAGUAUUUAAUUUACUCCUAUGAAUCCUGAACAAUUCAGGGAUCCUUUCACUGAAUAAACAUGUGCAACAACUGUAAGCCCAAGCUUGGCAAAAAAAAGCUAACAACAAUGUUAAUUAGCCAACAACAAUGUAACAAUAUUGUUGCAGUGGUGCACAUAGCAUUAGAUUUUGAGUAUAUAAAGGCCAAACGGUAUUCUCCAAACAUUCCAUAAAAUCUGACCUACGGAAUUACCACUUUUGACAUGUAAAUCAGAUAUAGUGAAUCGGCUGAGUACAUACUAAGCACAGCUAGAUAGCUAGCUAGCUCGCUAGCUAACUUAGAUAGCUACAUUUGCUCUAACAAGUCAAGGAAUUACCAAGACGACCAACCCGCACAGGUUAAAAUGAGUUAAGUUUGCUUUAAACGUCGAUCUAUUUAGAUAUUUAUAAUUUAAGGAACAUACAAAGUUUGACGUUAGAAAUAAGAACCUGUCUUACUAAUCCACCAUCAGCUGCAUCCGGUGCAGAGGUACAUCAGAAUCACAUGGAAAGGGCGUGUCCAUUAUUAUCAAAUCAUCGAUAAUAAACGCAGUACUUAGCGUUAUUCAUAGGGGUCAUAUAUUGCUUUCAAAUGACAACCAGUGUAACGUAACUUCCAAUACCCAUCCAACAAGUUAGCGAACGAGUUAGCAAACGUUGUAUUAGCCGUGAU